GCAUGCUGUAGAUGCUGCCGUUAUCUGAGUUGAUGUAAACAUAAGACGAGACAGAAACGUCCUGCACUUUAGAGUCCAGAAUGGAGUAAGAGAUUUUAGCGUUUUCUCCAAAAUCCAGGUCAGAGGCUGAUACUGAGUACAGUAUAGAACCUGGUACUCCGUUCUCUUUUAAAUACACGUUAUAGGAGGGCUGAGUAAACAUAGGAGGAUUAUCGUUCACAUCAGUGAUGCUGACAGGUAUAGUUUUCUUACUAGAGAGUGGAGGAGAGCCUGAAUCAGUCGCCGUUAUCUCAACAUUAUACUCUGAGAAACUCUCUCUGUCUAAAGGACCGCUGGUAACUAGUGC